UUUUUUUUAUUUUUGGUGCAGAGAGGCAGGGAGCUUAUUCUGUUUCUAGUUUCUACACUUCUUCAUAUGCUUCUCUGAAAUUUCCCAUCUCAAAUUUUCCAUCUUCAAACAUGUUCAUUUCUUGAGCUAAAAUCAUCAAAUAGUGAAGUUUUAACUGAAGUGAGGGAGAGUAAUUAAUCUACACUUCUAUAUCCAUUUUCUCCCAACCAAUUCAGGAUCCUACUAUAAUUAGCCACACUGCAUAUGUCUAUUCAGGAUCCUAAUUAUUUUAGUUUUAAAUUG
rnacentral:misc_RNA from 1 species